rfam:Ornithorhynchus anatinus chromosome 7, whole genome shotgun sequence.
AGUAGUGUGGCUUAGUGGAAAGAGCAUGGACUUGGGAGUCAGAGGUCAUGGGUUCUAAUCCCAGCUCUGCCA